GUUCGGUAGAGGUCUACCGAACGUUGUUUUAUAGGCUUUUUGAGUAAAUAGGGGGUGGGGGUAACCAUCUAUGUUUUAUUAAAUUUAACUACAUCAUGUUUCAUCCUACUCAUCUAGCAUAGCACCUCUUGUUUUGGUCAUACUUUAUUAAUUGAUGGUUUGACCUUUAUUAUUUAAUUUUAUAAUCUUGUUUUUUGUUAAUCUUAGAAUUCCUGGUUUGACCUACACAAUCUCACUAAACCAGCUUGUGAAAUGAGGACUACCCUCACUUAUAAACACUUGAUCAGGCCAUCACUCAACCAAUGUGGAAUUCUUUGAUCAUUAACUUUAUACGCAUGUUGUCUUGGUGGUUUGAGAAACGGCGUUCAACAAGACAAGUCUCGUAUUUAACUACUUUCUUAACCAUCUAAAACCAUUUUUUUGAGCUUCAACCUUCUUCCAUGGUUGUAACUCUUUUACUUAC
rnacentral:lncRNA from 1 species